GAGGAUGCGAGCGUUAUCCGGAUUUAUUGGGUUUAAAGGGUGCGUAGGCUGUUUCUUAAGUCAGCGGUGAAAGCCCGGGGCUCAACCCCGGCGAGCCGUUGAAACUGGGGAGCUGGAGAGGAAGAGAGGUAUGCGGAAUUCGCGGUGUAGCGGUGAAAUGCUUAGAUAUCGCGAAGAACUCCGAUUGCGAAGGCAGCAUACCGGCUUCUGUCUGACGCUGAGGCACGAGAGCGUGGGGAUCGAA
rnacentral:rRNA from 1 species